rnacentral:rRNA from 1 species
AUCAACUUUCGAUGGUAGGAUAGAGGCCUACCAUGGUGGUAACGGGUAACGGGGUGUUAGGGCACGACACCGGAGAGGGAGCCUGAGAAACGGCUACCACAUCCAAGGAUGGCAGCAGGCGCGCAAAUUACCCAAUCCCGACACGGGGAGGUAGUGACAAUAAAUAACAAUACGGGGUUCUUUAGGAUCUCGUAAUUGGAAUGAGUACAAUUUAAAUCUCUUAACGAGGAACAAUUGGAGGGCAAGUCUGGUGCCAGCAGCCGCGGUAAUUCCAGCUCCAAUAGCGUAUAUUAAAGUUGUUGCAGUUAAAAAGCUCGUAGUUGAAUUUCGGGGUUAGUAAGUUGGUCAUGCCUUCGGUAUGUACUGGCUUUACUGAUUCCUCCUUCUUGACGAACCGUGAUGUCAUUAAUUUGGUGUUGCGGGAAAUCAGGACUGUUACUUUGAAAAAAUUAGAGUGUUUAAAGCAGGCUAACGCUUGAAUACAUUAGCAUGGAAUAAUGAAAUAGGACGUUAAUCCUAUUUUGUUGGUUUCUAGGAUCGACGUAAUGAUUAAUAGGGAUAGUUGGGGGCAUUAGUAUUCAAUUGUCAGAGGUGAAAUUCUUGGAUUUAUUGAAGACUAACUACUGCGAAAGCAUUUGCCAAGGAUGUUUUCAUUAAUCAAGAACGAAAGUUAGGGGAUCGAAGACGAUCAGAUACCGUCGUAGUCUUAACCAUAAACUAUGUCGACUAGGGAUCGGAUGAUGUUAAUUUUUUAAUGACUCAUUCGGCGCCUUACGGGAAACCAAAGUGUUUGGGUUC